rnacentral:rRNA from 1 species
ACUAGCGAAUCCAGCUUCACGGAGUCGAGUUGCAGACUCCGAUCCGAACUGAGACCGGCUUUCGAGAUUCGCAUCCUGUCUCCAGGUAGCUGCCCUCUGUACCGGCCAUUGUAACACGUGUGUAGCCCUGGACAUAAGGGCCGUGCUGAUUUGACGUCAUCCCCACCUUCCUCUCGGUUUACACCGGCAGUUUCGCUAGAGUCCCCGGCAUUACCCGCUGGCAACUAACGAUAAGGGUUGCGCUCGUUAUGGGACUUAACCCGACACCUCACGGCACGAGCUGACGACAACCAUGCAGCACCUUGCAGAGAGUUCCGAAGAAAAGAAGUAUUUCUACCUCAUGCACUCUACAUUUAAGCCCAGGUAAGGUUCCUCGCGUAUCAUCGAAAUUAAACCACAUGUUCCUCCGCUUGUGCGGGCCCCCGUCAAUUCCUUUGAGUUUCAGCCUUGCGGCCGUACUCCCCAGGUGGAUCACUUAAUGCUUUUGCUUAGCCGCUAACUGUAUAUCGCUAACAGCGAGG